UUUUUCGCCAGGGGACAACGAGCCUCAGCUUAAAACCCAAAGGACUUGGCGGUGCUUUAGACCCCCCUAGAGGAGCCUGUCCUAGAACCGAUGGUCCCCGUUUAACCUCACCCCCUCUUGUUCUUUCCCGCCUGUAUACCGCCGUCUUCAGCUCACCCUGUAAAGGCCUAAUAGUGGGCUAAAUUGGCACUGCCUAAAACGUCAGGUCGAGGUGCAGCUUACGAGGGGGGAAGAGAUGGGCUACAUUUUCUGACUCAGAAAAUACGAAUUUUGCCCUGAAAAAGCAUCUGAAGGUGGAUUUAGCAGUAAGGGGAGAUCAGAGUGCUCUCCUGAAGCUGGCCCUGAAGCGCGU
rnacentral:rRNA from 1 species